CGUAUUUCAGGAGGCGGUCGACCACUUCUUCGGAGCGGGCCUCUUCGCGGAGGCGGUCUUCCUGUUGCAGGGCCUUUUCGAUCGAGACGGGUUUGAC
rnacentral:tRNA from 1 species